UGACAAAGUUGGCGGUACUACCGUUGUC
rnacentral:sRNA from 1 species